ACUCCAGGCUGCUGCAGUCGUCGUCACUGUCGCUUCUAGUUGUAUCAUCCUGGAUGACCGGUGAAGGACUCGGAGGAGGAAGACUGAACUGCUGGGGACCUGGAAUGUAGAAGAUCAUCGUUAAGCGUACAAUUUGGUGACAUGGGUAAAGCUCCAUCAAACUGUAAAAGGUUCAGCACAUCCCUCUUGCCCCUCAAACGCUUCAAGGCAAAGCUAUGAGGCAAAAGCCAGCUUCUUCCCUCCUCUGCCAAGCCAGUUGAAUUUCAGCGCGAAGUGGUUGGUGAGGAUGUGGCGAAGGAUUCUUCGAACCGCGUCACCAGGAUUGCAGCCCCCAAGCGCACUAAGGUGUGCUGCCUGCAGGGUGCUCCUGGUUUGGGCUUUUUUCAGGUUCAAACGCGCUGCAUCAUAAUUGGCUGUUGAAGACAACAAUGAAGUCUCAUCUGGCAUAGCGCUUUGGAUGACUGCAACUUUCGUCCGCUUGGUGUCUUUAUACGGUGGCCAAAAAGACACCUUGCCAUCCAAACUUAGCCACGAGCAAGGCACAACCUCCACCUCGUUUGACUCGGUAAAAUGCACUACCGCAUACAUCUAAACAGAAAAUAAGUUUUGAAAAAGUUGAACACAUUGAAUUUAGAUAACCGAUUUAAUUGAUUGAAAUAUGAAUCAUUUUUAAAUUAAUUUAGUUGUGGUUGAGUGGAAAUGCCACAAGUUUGUUCUUGUAUUCUAACGUGACCAUCUUAAAGUCAAUAUCUUUAACGGCAAUUGACGUGGUCUCUUCUGCCAGGUUCCCAACCACAGCUGUCCCCAGUGCAGUUGAAUCAACAGGGUGGUUGAAAAAUGGACGUUGGUCUAAAUAUUGCCUCGCCACAAAAGACGUACCACCAAGUGUCCUGCUAAUUGCCUCUAUUUUAAAAGUGGCACCACCACACGAAACUGUGUUGUUCCCAUCCUUUGUAGACAGGGUAAA